ACUCACGCGGGAAUCUUACCGGGUCCGGACACACUGAGGAUUGACAGGUUCCGAGAGUUUUUGCUUCGGCAAUGCUCUCUUAAAUAUGAUAGUCCUUUCAUGAUUAUGUGAUAGGUGGUGCAUGGCCGUUCUUAGUUCGUGGAGUGAUCUGUCUGCUUAAUUGCGUUUCACUAAAGGCGUCAUAUCUGUUUUGUUGCGUGUUUGACCCCUCUUCGGAGCGCGUGUCUUCACGCACAAUUACUUUGGCGUCUGAAAGCAACGAACGUGACCGUAACCUCUUGUUGCCUUCUCUUCUCCUCGGAGAAUGCUGUUUGUUUUUGCAGGCAGUAUAUGGAGGCUUUUUUACUCAACAACUAGAGGGACCGCUGUUUCUUUCUUUAAACCAGAGGAAGGAUACGGCAAUAACAGGUCUGUGAUGCCCUUAGAUGUUCCGGGCUGCACACGUGAUACAUUGAUUACUUCAGUGAGUAUCUACGUUUUACUGCGUGGCAUUGCAAUGCAUAUUUCUUCGGAAGUGUGUUUUUGUUUGCCGCCUCAACCUGCUUCGAAAGCAUGCGGGUAACCAAUUAGAAGUAGUGAUUUCCUUUUUUAUAAGCACACUAAUAUGGGGCAUCAUCACCCGGCAUGCAU
rnacentral:rRNA from 1 species